rnacentral:rRNA from 1 species
AUUCCAGCUCCAAUAGCGUAUAUUAAAGUUGUUGCAGUUAAAAAGCUCGUAGUUGGAUUUCUGGUGGGAGCGAUCGGUCUGGCGCUUAGCGCGAGUACUUGCAUCGUCUCCGGCCAUCCUUGGGGAGAGUUUGUCUGGCAUUAAGUUGUCGGGCAGAGGAUCCUCAUCGUUUACUGUGAAAAAAUUAGAGUGUUCAAAGCAGGCUUAUGCCGUUGAAUAUAUUAGCAUGGAAUAAUAAGAUAGGACUUUGGUACUAUUUUGUUGGUUUGCGCACCAAAGUAAUGAUUAAUAGGGACAGUUGGGGGUAUUCGUAUUCCGUUGUCAGAGGUGAAAUUCUUGGAUUUACGGAAGACGAACUACUGCGAAAGCAUUUACCAAGGAUGUUUUCAUCG